rnacentral:ncRNA from 1 species
AAUCCUGCUCAGUACGAGAGGAACCGCAGGUUCAGACAUUUGGUGUAUGUGCUUGGCUGAGGAGCCAAUGGUGCGAAGCUACCAUCUGUGGGAUUAUGACUGAACGACCUGAUUCUGGGUCAGGGUUUCG